ensembl:lncRNA
AUGAAGACAGGGCAUACAAGGUCCAUCUCUCUGAGAUUCCUCCCACUGAUGCUUGAGCGCUUCCACCAGUGCACCAGCAUCUUUGAAGAUGCCUAUUAUCAAAAGCUGUGCUGCCACAGGCUGCACCACUUCCUGGGCACCCUGGCACAGAGUACCGUUCCAAGAGAAGAGGCCUGUGCAAAGCAGAGAUAUAUCUAUUUGCAAGCUGAGUUUCUGUGUGGAGGAAGAAUGCUGACUGGAGAACUGUGAACAGCCAAGGCAGCUGCUUUUCAAAGGAAAGAGUUGCCUGUUGCUCCUUGCCAUUUGCCAGUAGUAGGGAAAACCACAUUAUUUCAUUGUCCUGUGAUGCAGCUCAGGAAAACUGCCAAAGGUGAGAAUUGCCAUUGUGUAUCUGGACAUAUGCUCUUACCCUCUUCUCUGCCUUCUAUCCCACUCCUGCCUCAUACUUCAUUUGCUGAAGGAAGAGUCUGCACUGAGGGAUGCCUUAUCUCAAGUGCUGCUCAUAGUAAUUUUGCCUUUCUCCUGUAAAAAUGUGUCUUGUAGGGUAGAAGCAGUGUUUGCUUCGGGAGUCCAGUCUUUCUUCAUUGAGUAAAUACUGCUGGAGUGAUGGGAAGAGGAGCCAGAUGGAAGUGGCAGUGUUUGCUGCUUCAUGCCUGCAACACUUGGCCUGGGCUUUUGCUGUCCAGAACUUUGAGAAGUGUCCAAGAAGGUGUACAAGAAAACCUGGUCCUUCUUUUGUCACUGGGCUGAUGGCUUUCUUACAAUGUGACUGAGCUGCCUCUUUGUUCUGUCUGAUGAGGUGCCUGUGGUGAGAAUCAUGUCUAUUUAUGACCGAAAGGGGAAGCAGAGAGGGAGAAGCCAAAUGCCCAUUUUUCUUCUGCCCCAGGCAGGAACAACCCAUACAAAACCAAUUGUACUCUUAGCUUGUUUGAGUCUGGACUUUUACAGAGAGAGGAGAUCCCUAGUUUUAGUUCUUGGGGGUAUUCAAAUGGCUCUGGCCUCCUCAUUUGCUUUGCACAAGUGAAGCGGGGCAGCCUAGGUUCUCAGAGCCAGGUUCAUAUGUCUUUUGCCCCUGCUCUCUGGGGGCUCCUUCCCUGUAGGAAAGACCUCUUCAAACUUCCAUCUCAUUGACCUGGUAGACAGAAGCCUGGCAUUGUGGAGUGGCUUCUGGAAAGCUUCAUUGGCCACCAUCUCCUUGCCUCUGCCCUGCCUUUGCAGCUGGCAUGGUGGGGGAGAGACAUUGCCUUGUCCUGGAAGGGAGUGCUGCUUCUGUCCGAUGUCUCUGCCUUGCCAGAAAGGGAGCCAGAUGUCUGUGGGAACAGGAAUUGCUGAGUAGAUCCAAGAAAUUUUUUUUUAACAGUUUUUUUACAGCAAGGAUGAAGUACAGUAUUGCAUGGGCUUCUUAAAGCUGCUUUGAAAUACCCAAGGGCUUGAUUUGCUGCAUGUUUUUUAUGUUGGUCCAGCUUAGCCUUUCUUUGAUUCUCAAUAUUUUGUCAUGUCUCUUACCUCCUUUGUUGUCCUGUACAAAAGGAGAAUGAAGCUACAAAGGAUGCAUGAAUUGAGGCGAAGUACAUAAUUUUCACAAGACUCUAAAUAUUUGUCUUGGUAUGUAAUAAAGUAGUGGAU